CAUCCGAUGAUUUUCUCUCUGUUUU
rnacentral:sRNA from 1 species